GCUGACUGACAACUGGUUCAGGCUGCUUAUUGGUGAAAUUCAUUCUUGAUUGACAGAGGAUUGUAAGCCUCUGAUUGUCCAAAUAAAAAAAUGAUUGACAGUUACCCCCCCCAUUCAAAGUCUCCAGUCUGCAGAGAUACCCUACUCCAUCUUGAAGGACAUAUCAGUUCCCUAAAAUCCAUGCCUAAAAUGCAUCUCGGAGAGAGGAGAGAUGAGAGAGGAGGCUUGCCAGAGGAGCUAUGAUCGAGGAUGCACAGGUGUAUCCUUUGCAAAAGUCUUUUCAGCAUGUGUAGUCCACAGCUGGAAUAUACAAACCAUGUUGGGAGCUUGUAAAUUGUAUUAAUUAUUUAAGAUGAUCAAAUGCGCGAUCAAACUUUCUGCCCUUCCCUGUUUGUGUAGCGCCUCUGAAGGCUCUGUUCUAACCGCAUUCCUUAAUGACAUUUCACCUUGAUAUUGUGUUUUUAUUGGCUACACCCAAUUUAACUGCUAUAAUCGUGACAUGAUGUUUACAAGUGCCGCGCAUGUGUCAACACUUCGACAUCUUCCUGUGGUUCGCCAAGAUCAAAAAGAACUCACCACUGACUUUUAAAUCACUUUAAGAAUGACUGACCUCAACCCAGGUUGACGUGCUGCAGUAAGCGCAUUGUCUCAUUUCCAGUCACCAGUGUUUGUGUGUUACUAGUAGUGUAUUUUUGCUGCUCUAGCUCAGCACAGUUAAUUUUGAUCGAAUCUUGAUCUCACUGAAGUAGGCCGUCAUCUUUACCUCCAACCAUAGAGGGCAGUGUUGCCAUGGAACUCCUGAGAAAGGCUUUCAAAAGAAAGGACUUUAUAAGGACUAUUAUUGAACUUGAACCAAAUGUUACGUUGUUUGUUUUUGGUUGACUAAUAAUUCUCGCUGCAUACAUAAUAUGGACAUUGUAUUUUUAUUUGUUUUAUUAAGUGUACAUUUUUUACCUCACAUGCUUUUAUUUUGAAGUCUGGAAAAGGAAGUGCAGCAGCACUCUUUGUGUACAUUGGCGCUCUUUUUACGUGAAGCGCCAUUCUGAAUUAACGUUAAGAGAGAAAGGAUAAACCCUUGGGUACUCACUGUACAAAUGUUUGCUUUAAAAAGGUUUCUUUCUACAUCUUAGCUCCUGGCUGAAGGGCACAAGGUCUUCCAAAGCUUGAUGUUUAUUCAUUUUUUUCUGUCCAAGGCCAAAUUGAGUGUGACGAUGGGUGGGUCCUGUGAUGUGUGCUACCUGUGAUUUCCUAUGGUACUGACUGAUCAUGAAAGUCAAUUUGGAAAUGUGUCAUCUGUUGUUAAUGUGUCAGCUGCUGUUACUACUGUAUUUUGGUGUGAGCACCAUCUUUGGGCCAACUUGCACUACUUCAGUUCUUCCUUCAGUCCAUGAGGAGGAACCACAGAGACCCAGCAAACAUUGAGAUGCUGAAUGCUGAAAAUGAAAGUUGUGCCGACGUCUCUCUUUAGAACAAUUCUGAAGGCAAACUUUUCCCAUAUGCGAUCAAAGACAGCUUGGAUAAAGACUUUCUGCUCUUACAGACAGGAAUAUAAUUUACAUGUAGAUAUACAUAAAUGGAACAAACAUGUUUUUUUAUUUUUUUUAAAUGGAGUGGACGUCACAGUGUGGACGUCUCAUCACAACCAUUUCACAACCAAAUGUUAUUGUAUUAAAAAAACAAGACACAUGCAUUUGAUUUUUUCAUAGCAAUAAUUUGAUCAAUAUUUACUGGUUUGUAAGAAAGGGCCUACUCCAACCAUUAUUGGACGUGGACCAUCUGGCCGUCCACCUCAUAACCACGUUGUAGUUUUUGGCGUCUGACUGGGACCAUUUUUGGCCAAGAAGUCGACACCAAUGUCUGGCCAAUGUUUGCUGGGGAGAGAUGGAAAAAUUCUGCACCUCUGAUUGUUGGUGGAAAAAAAGCACAGUAUUUUGAUAAAGUAUAUGUUUCACUGUGUGUGAGAUCCUUACUUUUCCUAGAGGUGUUCUUCCAUUUUAGUGAGUCUUUAACAACCUGUCUACAAUUGUGUCUGUUGAUACAUUACAUCUUUACAGCACAGGGUUAGUAAUCCUGAAGUUUACAUCUGUAGAUCAAAAGCCUGUGGUUGUCAGAUGUGUGAGUUUCACAAGUUAAACUGAACAUACAACCUUACUAUAACCUCCUUUAUAGAUAGUUAUGGUAACUGAUGAAAACGGAUACAACAGCCAAAAAUGACAAUGAAGUUAAAUACAGUGGAUUUUAGGAUAUAAAAAUGCAAGUUAGCUGUGCAAUUACAUAUCCUGCCAUGACUAAUAUGAUACAAAAAAACGACAGUUCAGAUUUUCUUUGGAAUGAAAUACAGUCUAAUCACUGAUUUUUUUAUCAACAUUUAUAUUGCUUUUAAAAUGAAAUGGUAUCUUUUAGCCCAACUAAAUUUAGGUGCUCAGUAAACUUUGAAGUUCAGUGGACACUCCUUAAGGCAACAAGCCACAAACUAUUUAUUGAUAUCUGGUGUUGCGGGAUAACAAAAUAAUUUAGACCUUUUGGGGGGUAUUAGUUGUAAUGAACAGUGGUAACAGUUGGCCCUGUGUUUCCAGUGUAAUGUGUGAAAUCAAUGAUAUAAUACUAUUUUAUUAUUUUAUAAUUGCUGUAUUAUCACCAUUUUUUAAUAAAUUCACUUUUACUAAU